GAUUUCAGAGGUUUCAGAUGGCCACUGAUUUUUGUAUUCCUGGUGAUCCUGAUCUGUAUUUGUGUUUUACAAUUCAGAAGAAUAUCUCAGAACAGGAAUAUGAAACCUUCAGGGAACGCCACAGACAAUCAAAAUUCAGACGACUCACCAGUGUUGAACAAAGACGUCAGACUACGAACAUCUGAGAGGCAGAGACAAAACAGCGAGGAUGAAAAAAGAGUAGAAAAAUAAAACUACAUGUGUUGAAUAAGCAAAACCCAGAAUAUCGUUGCUGUGAAGGUUAUGUUUCAUAAAUCCCAAAAUAUUUUAACACAAAGACAAGGUGCAGCGAGUAGUUAAUAUCCAAAAUAUUGAAUACAGACCAGCUCUAAUGCCUGUUGUCCAUCACCAUGACUACAGAAGCACCUAAUUUGAAUGUUU